rnacentral:misc_RNA from 1 species
GAGAGAUCUUCCUUUUGUCAUUGCCUUAUACAGUGUCAAGAUAAGAGGAAAUUGAUGAAGUGCGAGACGAGUCGAGUCAGUUUGAAAAAUUUUGCUAUCCCUAUAUUAGAAGCAACCAAAUUUUACGAGCUAGAUGGGAAAGAUGAGAAGUAAUGGUAAAUAUUUGCAGAUCUGGUAAUUGCAGGGCACUGCAAUCCAAGGUGGGUGGGUUUGCUGUUUGCAGGUCUUUCCACUUUUCUAGAAGAGAUUCCCACGUACAGUGAACAUUAGAAUCAAGUACUUCCCCAAUCUUCCCAUAUCAACUCAAUCAAAUUCAGUGAGAGGCUAGAUAGAUAGGUACUUCAUCUUUCCCAAUUUCAUGUAAAGGUGAAUUUAGACCUUGCAUCUGUUUAUUUUUACUAUUGCUGCACCAUAUUGCUUUUUAUAUGCACAAUGUGACAUAGUUUUCAUGCUGGGAUGGAAUUCACAAUGAUCUAAGAAAGAUGGGUUUCUUUUACCGAACUUAUAGUGUCGGUAACCUGCAUUAUAGAGCAACUUUCUAAUCAGCACAUGGCAUCGGUAUCACGUCCCACCAGCAGUAGUAAUGGGGAAGCAUUCUAACAAGUGGUUGUGAAAGGGAAUGAACUUUGUCUGCGCUUGCUAUAUGAGAGAGAAGCCACAGUCAUGAGGAUGACUGCAAUUUGGUAAGCAUGUAGCAAUUUCACUUGGCAAGACUACAUGCCUAUGUAGAAUCCUGCUAACAUGCGUGUCUUGUCAGUAUUAUGAAUUUAAGACUAAUUCCCCUAAUUAAAAUAAUAUCUUAUGAGCCUUCCUUUUUAUCGUAAUUAAAAAAUUCAAUUUUCAAAGAAUAAUUGAUGUUAUUUUCCUAUACACUUGUAGCUCUAUUUCAAAGAAUAAUUGAUCGAUGGUUACAUAUGUUGCAUGGUUAGGGUGGGCUUGCAAGUGAGGUUGGGAUUGGGACCAUAUGAUCUUUGCUAAUGUAAUAAGCAUCAGCAAGGUGUUAAUUAAUUUUUCAAGUUGGAAAUUUUAUGCCCUCCCAACAACCGACUAAGCAAGUGAGGCUCUUGUGUUUUUGAUCUGGUAGGUCCUAAUUGCCAUUUACCUCUUUGUUGUCUUCAUUUUCUGGGUUUGCCUGUUUUUGUUCAGGCUUCCAUUCCUCUUUUUCUAUCUCUUGUAAUUUGGGUCCAAUCAAAUUAAGCUCUGAAUUCUGAGUCUAAUGUUUAACUAGUGUUUAGACUUGUGUUGGGCCUUGAGGGAAGGAUGAAUAUUCUGGUAUAAAAUAACAAAGGUUGCUGAUGAGAGAAGCUUCAGGGUAUUAUGAUUAAAAAUCCCAAAAGAAAAGAUCCAAGAAAAUUCAGGACCACGAAGCUGACAAGAUGCAUUCCCAAACCACAAUUCACUCACCACCUGAGAAGAUAAUCUGAUUCAAAUUAACUACCACAAAAUAAAGGGAAAUUAUUCGUAGUUUAUCUACCCUCAAAAAAAUGAAGGCUGCAGUUUAUCCCUUUUAUCAGAACUAUGAACCCUAUUCUUAGAACACUGAUUUUGAUCUCCUGAACCCUUAAUCCCAUUUCCACCAUAUAUGUACAUAUAUAGACUGACAUUGUGCCAGCCUGCAAGUGUCAAUCAUAACACAAAGGCAACAACAACAAAAUUUUUAGAGUUCAUUCUUUCUCGACCUUGUGAGAUAGAGAAAUUGUACUGUGUUUGUUGUUGAAACAGAAAUAAUUAAUAAUCCCCUUUACAAGAAAAAAAAGUAUAAGAAUGGUGUUCAGUGGAACAACAGAGAAAUGCAAGGCCUGCGAUAACACAUUUCAUUUCAUUGAAAUGGCAACAGCUGAUGGCAUCCCUUAUCAUAAGACUUGCUUCAAGUGCAAGCACUGCAAUGGACUUCUUGUGACCAGCAGCUAUUACUCAACGGAUAGAGUCCUGUACUGCAAACCACACUUUGAGCAACUGUUCAAAGAGACUGGCAAUUAUACAAAGAAAUUCUCAUAUAACCCUUCUCUUUUCUUUAAAUUUCUUUUAUAUAUAUUUCUUCAAUAUGGUAUUCAAUUUUUCCUUUAAUUUGUGGCUAUUCAUUCGGCUGGAGAAAAGAAAAAUGGACAGGCGCAGAUGCUUUUCGUGUUCCUGAUUUUUCUUUGUUAUGGAAAUGUCCAGCAUUUUUCUUACAAUUGAGGCUAAUUUCUCUUCUUUGCAGGCAAAGGCUCCUAACAAAUUUUCCACAUGUUCUCUGGCGCUCAAGACAAGUGUGCACGAUGUAACAAAACUGCAUAACCAUUAGAGAAGGCUUAUACAUAAUUUUAUCUAUAGUUUUGUGUUAUAUAUGAAAUAAAAAUAGACGAUAAAUUUAAGCAAAAUAUUUGUAACAGGUGAGUGUGGAGGGAGAAUCUUGUCACAAGACAUGCUACGGGUGCUCUCAUGGGUGUUGUUAUCUUACACCCUCAUCCUAUGCUGCUCUAGAUGGCAUUCUUUACUGCAAACCACUUUGCUUAGUUAUUUAAAGAGAAAGGCUCCUACAAUCAUAUAUAGGUGAAGAAAAAUGAAGCAGAUACACCAGACGAGAUGGAGAAACCUGAAGCAGAAGAAGCCAAAGCAAUACCAGAAUCAGAACCAGAUUCUGAGGAAGUUCAUGAACGAAAGCAAUCAUAACCCACAAGAAUACAAGCUCCAGGUCAACCAUGAACAUUUUUGUUUCUGUCCGGUAGGGGCAAGAUGAUGGAAUUGUUGAAGUUAUUUAAUUUCUUAUGGCUAGAAGUUUCAAAAUGAUAGUCAUGGUGAUACAAAUGUAUUCCUGCACCAUGUAUUUGGAGGACCUAUUGUUUGAUUAUGAUUUUGCCUUCUUGAACUGAAAUGAGUGUAGCUCUUUUUAUUUUCCAAUCUUCUCUUGUUUGAUUAUUAUAAAACUAUACAUACUACAGACAAACCGG